ensembl:lncRNA
GCCAGGUGGGGCGAGCAGAUGCGAGGGAAGGCUGGGUGAGGCUAAGGCGAGGCGAGACGAGGUGAGGUGUGGCGAGGCGAGGUGAGGCGGGGCGAGGUAAGGCAAGGCAGGGAGGGGCGAGGUUAGGUGAGGGAAAGUCGAGGCAAGGCGAAGUAAGGCAAGGCGGGGUGAGGCGAGGCAUAGAAUGGCGAUGCGAGGCAAGGAGAGGCAAAGGCAAGGAUAAGGCGAGGUGAGGUGAGGCGAUGCGAGGCAAGACGAGGAGAUAGGUGGUGAGGAAAGGCAAAGGUGAAGCGAGGCGUUGCAAAGUGAGGGAAAGGCGAGGCGAGGCGAGGCAAGGCAAAGGCAAGGCGAGGCGUGGCAACGUGAGCCAAAGGCGAAGCGAGGCAAGGUGAGGGGAGGCGACGCAAAGUGGGGCGAAGUGAGACGAGGCAGGGCGUGACGAGGCGAGGCGAGGCAAAGGUGAGGCGAGGCGGGGCGAGGCGAGGCGAGGCGGGGUGAGGCUAAGGCGAGGCGAGGUGGGGCGAGGCGAGACGAGGUGAUAGGUGGCGAGGCAAGGCAAAGGCAAAGUGAGGCAUUGCAAAGUGAGGGAAAAACGAGGCGAGGCGAGGCGAGGCGAGGCAAGGCAAAGGCAAGGCGAGGCGUGGCAGGGUGAGCCAAAGGCGAAGCGAGGCAUGGUGAGGGGAGGCGACGCGAAGCGGGGCGAAGUGAGACGAGGCAGGGCGUGACGAGGCGAGGCGAGGCAAAGGUGAGGCAAGGCGGGGUGAGGCGAGGCGAGGUGAGAUGAGGUGAUAGGUGGCGAGGCAAGGCAAAGGCGAAGCGAGGCAUUGCAAAGUGAGAGAAAAGCGAGGCGAGGCGAGGCGAGCCAAGGCGAGGGAAGGCACGGCGUGGCGAGGCGAG